GACGAACGCUGGCGGCGUGCUUAACACAUGCAAGUCGAACGCUGAAGCUCAGCUUGCUGGGUGGAUGAGUGGCGAACGGGUGAGUAGCACGUGAGUAACCUGCCCUCUUCUUUGGGAUAACGCCCGGAAACGGGUGCUAAUACUGGAUAUUCACUGAUUCUCGCAUGGGGGUUGGUGGAAAGGUUUUUUCUGGUGGGGGAUGGGCUCGCGGCCUAUCAGCUUGUUGGUGGGGUGAUGGCCUACCAAGGCUUUGACGGGUAGCCGGCCUGAGAGGGUGACCGGUCACAUUGGGACUGAGAUACGGCCCAGACUCCUACGGGAGGCAGCAGUGGGGAAUAUUGCACAAUGGGCGAAAGCCGGAGGCAGCGACGCCGCGUGAGGGAUGGAGGCCUUCGGGGUGUAAACCUCUUUCGCUCAUGGUCAAGCCGCAGCUUGGGGUUGUGGUGAGGGUAGUGGGUAAAGAAGCGCCGGCUAACUACGUG
rnacentral:rRNA from 1 species